rnacentral:rRNA from 1 species
GAGUUUGAUCCUGGCUCAGAGUGAACGCUGGCGGCGUGCCUAAUACAUGCAAGUCGAACGGACGAGUAAGAGCUUGCUCUUAUGAGUUAGUGGCGCACGGGUGAGUAAUGUAUAGUUAAUCUGCCCUACACUGGAGGACAACAGUUAGAAAUGACUGCUAAUACUCCAUACUCCUUCUUAACACAAGUUAAGUCGGGAAAGUUUUUUCGGUGUAGGAUGAGACUAUAUUGUAUCAGCUAGUUGGUGAGGUAAUGGCUCACCAAGGCUAUGACGCAUAACUGGUCUGAGAGGAUGAUCAGUCACACUGGAACUGAGACACGGUCCAGACUCCUACGGGAGGCAGCAGUAGGGAAUAUUGCUCAAUGGGGGAAACCCUGAAGCAGCAACGCCGCGUGGAGGAUGACACUUUUCGGAGCGUAAACUCCUUUUGUUAGGGAAGAACAAUGACGGUACCUAACGAAUAAGCACCGGCUAACUCCGUGCCAGCAGCCGCGGUAAUACGGAGGGUGCAAGCGUUACUCGGAAUCACUGGGCGUAAAGGACGCGUAGGCGGAUUAUCAAGUCUUUUGUGAAAUCUAAUGGCUCAACCAUUAAACUGCUUGAGAAACUGAUAAUCUAGAGUGAGGGAGAGGCAGAUGGAAUUGGUGGUGUAGGGGUAAAAUCCGUAGAGAUCACCAGGAAUACCCAUUGCGAAGGCGAUCUGCUGGAACUUAACUGACGCUAAUGCGUGAAAGCGUGGGGAGCAAACAGGAUUAGAUACCCUGGUAGUCCACGCCCUAAACGAUGUAUACUAGUUGUUGCUGUGCUAGUCAUGGCAGUAAUGCACCUAACGGAUUAAGUAUACCGCCUGGGGAGUACGGUCGCAAGAUUAAAACUCAAAGGAAUAGACGGGGACCCGCACAAGCGGUGGAGCAUGUGGUUUAAUUCGAGGAUACGCGAAGAACCUUACCUGGGCUUGAUAUCCUAAGAACCUUGUAGAGAUACGAGGGUGCUAGCUUGCUAGAACUUAGUGACAGGUGCUGCACGGCUGUCGUCAGCUCGUGUCGUGAGAUGUUCGGUUAAGUCCGGCAACGAGCGCAACCCACGUAUUUAGUUGCUAACAGUUCGGCUGAGCACUCUAAAUAUACUGCCUUCGUAAGGAGGAGGAAGGUGUGGACGACGUUAAGUCAUCAUGGCCCUUAUGCCCAGGGCGACACACGUGCUACAAUGGCAUAUACAAUGAGACGCAAUAUCGCGAGAUGGAGCAAAUCUAUAAAAUAUGUCCCAGUUCGGAUUGUUCUCUGCAACUCGAGAGCAUGAAGCCGGAAUCGCUAGUAAUCGUAGAUCAGCCAUGCUACGGUGAAUACGUUCCCGGGUCUUGUACUCACCGCCCGUCACACCAUGGGAGUUGAUUUCACUCGAAGCCGGAAUACUAAACUAGUUACCGUCCACAGUGGAAUCAGCGACUGGGGUGAAGUCGUAACAAGGUA